rnacentral:rRNA from 1 species
AUACGGAGGGUGCAAGCGUUACUCGGAAUCACUGGGCGUAAAGCGCGCGCAGGCGGGCUGAUAAGUUGGAUGUGAAAGCCUGCGGCUCAACCGUAGAACUGCAUCCAAAACUGUCAGUCUAGAGUGUGGGAGAGGAAGAUGGAAUUAGUUGUGUAGGGGUAAAAUCCGUAGAGAUAACUAGGAAUACCAAAAGCGAAGGCAAUCUUCUGGAACACUACUGACGCUGAGGCGCGAAGGCGUGGGGAGCAAACAGGAUUAGAUACCCGAGUAGUCC